AUGAACGCUGGCGGCGUGCCUAAUACCUGCAAGUCGAGCGAACGGACGAGAAGCUUGCUUCUCUGAUGUUAGCGGCGGACGGGUGAGUAACACGUGGAUAACCUACCUAUAAGACUGGGAUAACUUCGGGAAACCGGAGCUAAUACCGGAUAAUAUUUUGAACCGCAUGGUUCAAAAGUGAAAGACGGUCUUGCUGUCACUUAUAGAUGGAUCCGCGCUGCAUUAGCUAGUUGGUAAGGUAACGGCUUACCAAGGCAACGAUGCAUAGCCGACCUGAGAGGGUGAUCGGCCACACUGGAACUGAGACACGGCCCAGACUCCUACGGGAGGCAGCAGUAGGGAAUCUUCCGCAAUGGGCGAAAGCCUGACGGAGCAACGCCGCGUGAGUGAUGAAGGUCUUCGGAUCGUAAAACUCUGUUAUUAGGGAAGAACAUAUGUGUAAGUAACUGUGCACAUCUUGACGGUACCUAAUCAGAAAGCCACGGCUAACUACGUG
rnacentral:rRNA from 1 species